UUUUUGUUUUUUUUCCACUGGGAGAACAAUGCCUGGCACAUGUUAGGUAUUUAAUAGCUAUGUAAUAACUAAAAAAGAGAUCAGGAGGGCUUUUGUGUAGUCUGCUUCGAAAUUUUAAAAGAAAUACUGUUACUGGCAUUUGUUUCCAGUUCAGAAACACAAUCGUCCUUGUCAUUGUGGGGAUUUCUGCAAAGGUUUUGGAAGUAUCAAGUGUGGUAUUAGAUGGCUGUGAUCAAACAAGAAUGUCCAAUGCAAUUUCCAGCUUUUCCUUUGUUCCAAGGCAGAGCAGUACACAGAGCUGGAUAAGUGGACUCUUCUUUGUGCAGAUGGAGAACAUAUCCCUUACAAAGUACCUAAAGCCCUAAAGUGGCUUCCUUUGUUAAUGCAGAUGACCCUAAAGGCUUCUGAAACACUUAGCUCUUAGGAAAUGUUAGUCUGUUUUUCUCUAUGGAGCCUACAGUACCCAUGCUCUCACUUUUGGUUUACUUUGUUUAUAUUCUCUUGAUAAAUUGAUUUUGACUAAUAAUAGUGCAGCAAAGAUUUUAUCUGAUCAAUACAGCAUAGGACGCCAUUCUGAAGGUAGAUUCAAAGAGUCCUGCAGCCCUGUUACAAGGAAUCUAGGUAAAGGAAAUUUUAAGAUUCUGGGUUUUUUGUGGGGUUUUUUUUGCCUUUUCUAGGGCUGCUCCCACGGCAUAUGGAGGUUGAAAGAUGAAAAAUCUGCUUCCCUGUUGCCAUUUCACAAAUAUGCCAAGGCAGUACCAUAUUAGUCACUAAGACAGAUAUUUCCCUUAUAAAUUGUCAAAUAUGUUGUAAAAUAUCCAUUUUUACAAGGCAAGCAAUAAGGCCAUAUUUAUUUUUUAAAUGGCCCAUCAACGUUUUUAUUUCUUUGGAAUCGUCUCAUGAAAAAAAAAAAAUUUACUCUCAAUAAUGGUCUAAAGAGAAGCCUGCAUGAAGCAAUGCGGUGUUACUCAUCCUUUUUAAAAAAGGUGUUGAGUGACCUCUGGAGGCAAGUGGGGGAAAGUAUCAUCCUGCUUUCAGGAAUGAAAUGGGGAGAUUUGGAAAGCAGAUUUCUUUUCAUCUAGAGAAAAAAAUUUUUUGAGGUUUAAUCAGAGUGAAUUAAAAUGUUUAACUUUAGAAUUAGUUUACUGAAUCUCAAUUCAAUUAUGUAACAUUUUUUUCAUUUUUAAAAAAGUUUUACUCAAGUAUAGUUGACCUAUAAUGUUGUGAUAAUUUCUGCUAUACAACAAAGUGAUUUCAGUUAUACCAUACACACACCCAAUAUCUUUCAGAUUCUUCUCCCCCAUAGAUUAUCACAAAAUAUUGGGUAGGGUUCUCUGUGCUAUAGAGAAGUUGCCUGUUGGCCAAUCAAUUAUACAAUAUUUAUUAAGGAUAUAAUACAAUGCUACAAGGGAGAUAGAAACAUAAGAUCCACAGUUUCCAUCUCAUGGAGUUUACAAUCUACUAGGGGACAAAAGAUAAGUGCU
rnacentral:lncRNA from 1 species